rnacentral:ribozyme from 2 species
ACCUAGACUAAGGCCAAGAGAAUAGUAUGACAGAAUUGACAAGCUAUGUGUUUACCUAAAACAAGAUUCACAUAGCCUGUACCUAGAGAUAGAUCUGGGUUCUGAGUCUGGAAACUCUGCCAGCAACAGCUAA